AAAGAAGUAUAUGUAUUUUUGUAUAUCGGGUUGUCCGAUAAAGAAGAAUAUCAGCUUGUCUGAUAAAGAAGUUUAAUGGAUUAUGUUAUCCAUGUAGCGAGCAGUAGCUUCGUGCUAAGUGAUUAGCAAAUGUUUGGUAAAUGCAUGGCAUUCAUAAAUUCAUGCAUUAUUUAGGGAUAUCAGACUUGUCUGAUAAACAAGGAUAUUGGACUUGUCCAAUAAAGAAGAAUAUCAAUGGUAAGUUCCUUGAUAAAGAAGAUGGUACCACAUGCAUUAGUCGUGUCUAGGUUGGCAUGACAUUGAAUGUUUGGCAUUAGUCGCAUUUGAGUAAAUGUGCAAUUAUGUGUUAUGUGUUAUGUGAGUUCUUUGUGUUGUCCGAAACGACGUGAAACUAUCUGGUGGUGUAUUUGUGAGUAUGUGUUAUCUGGUGUAUUGCUUAUUGAGGUAUGUGUGUGAGUUAGUAAUAC
rnacentral:lncRNA from 1 species